rnacentral:tRNA from 1 species
GGCCUCGUAGCUCAGCUGCUAGAGGAUGCGCUGUAAAAAAGCGUAGGCGGCGUCAAUGCGUGGGUUCGAAUCCCACCUGUGCUA